rnacentral:rRNA from 1 species
UACGUAGGUGGCAAGCGUUAUCCGGAAUUAUUGGGCGUAAAGCGUCCGCAGGUGGUUGUUCAAGUCUGCUGUUAAAGCGCGAGGCUUAACCUUGUACAGGCAGUGGAAACUGAGCGACUAGAGUAUGGUAGGGGUAGCGGGAAUUCCCAGUGUAGCGGUGAAAUGCGUAGAUAUUGGGAAGAACACCAGCGGCGAAAGCGCGCUACUGGGCCAUUACUGACACUCAUGGACGAAAGCUAGGGGAGCGAAAGGG